GUGCAGUGAUGUAUUGUCAACACAUCAUUCUGAAGAAAGUAUGUGGUGAUUUCCUGUGACUGAGCACA